rnacentral:rRNA from 1 species
CGCCUUCAGAUUCAAUAUUGGAGGUCUGGUCUGCCCAGUGUAAUUAAUUAACGGCCGCGGUAUUCUGACUGUGCAAAGGUAGCAUAAUCACUUGCCCUUUAAAUGGGGGAAUGUAUGAAUGAUUAGACGAGGUUUUUACUGUCUCUUCCUUAUAAAUUGAGAUUACAAUACUUGUGAAAAUGCGGGUAAGGUAAUAAAGGACGAGAAGACCCUGUUGAGCUUUUGAGCUAAACUAUAGUACAGGUUAAGUUAAGUAAUAAUUUACAAUUAAAACGAGUAAUUUUUUGUAGGCUUUUUGGCUGGGGUGGCAAGCAAAGAUAUUAAGCUUUGUUGUAGUAUACAUUUUGUAUUUCUAGAUAAUAUGUAUCUAUAAAUAAUUAAAUUGAUCCGUUAAGAUAGAACGAUUAAAAGAAUAAGUUACCACAGGGAUAACAGCGUAAUUCUUUUUGAGAGCUCGAAUUGACAAAGGAGUUUGCGACCUCGAUGUUGGAUCAAGAUUCCUAGCGGUGUAGCAGCUGUUACGGGUUUGCCUGUUCGGCGAUUAAUAUCU